rnacentral:rRNA from 1 species
UGGGGAAUAUUGCACAAUGGGCGCAAGCCUGAUGCAGCCAUGCCGCGUGUGUGAAGAAGGCCUUCGGGUUGUAAAGCACUUUCAGCGAGGAGGAAGGCGUUAAGGUUAAUAACCUUGGCGAUUGACGUUACUCGCAGAAGAAGCACCGGCUAACUCCGUGCCAGCAGCCGCGGUAAUACGGAGGGUGCAAGCGUUAAUCGGAAUUACUGGGCGUAAAGCGCACGCAGGCGGUUUGUUAAGUCAGAUGUGAAAUCCCCGAGCUUAACUUGGGAACUGCAUUUGAAACUGGCAAGCUAGAGUCUUGUAGAGGGGGGUAGAAUUCCAGGUGUAGCGGUGAAAUGCGUAGAGAUCUGGAGGAAUACCGGUGGCGAAGGCGGCCCCCCUGGACAAAGACUGACGCUCAGGUGCGAAAGCGUGGG